GACGAACGCUGGCGGCGUGCUUAACACAUGCAAGUCGAACGGAAAGGCCCUGCCUUUGUGGGGUGCUCGAGCGGCGAACGGGUGAGUAACACGUGAGUAACCUGCCCUUGACUUUGGGAUAACUUCAGGAAACUGGGGCUAAUACCGGAUAGGAGCUCCUGCUGCAUGGUGGGGGUUGGAAAGUUUCGGCGGUUGGGGAUGGACUCGCGGCUUAUCAGCUUGUUGGUGGGGUAGUGGCUUACCAAGGCUUUGACGGGUAGCCGGCCUGAGAGGGUGACCGGCCACAUUGGGACUGAGAUACGGCCCAGACUCCUACGGGAGGCAGCAGUGGGGAAUAUUGCACAAUGGGCGGAAGCCUGAUGCAGCAACGCCGCGUGCGGGAUGACGGCCUUCGGGUUGUAAACCGCUUUCGCCUGUGACGAAGCGUGAGUGACGGUAAUGGGUAAAGAAGCACCGGCUAACUACGUG
rnacentral:rRNA from 1 species